rnacentral:rRNA from 1 species
GACGAACGCUGGCGGCGUGCUUAACACAUGCAAGUCGAACGGUGAAGCGCCUUCCUUUUUGGUGGGUGUGGAUGAGUGGCGAACGGGUGAGUAACACGUGAGUAACCUGCCCCCUUCUUCUGGAUAACCGCAUGAAAGUGUGGCUAAUACGGGAUAUUCUGGGUCUGUCGCAUGAUGGGUCUGGGAAAGAUAUUGUUUCGGUGGGGGAUGGGCUCGCGGCCUAUCAGCUUGUUGGUGGGGUGAUGGCCUACCAAGGCGGUGACGGGUAGCCGGCCUGAGAGGGUGGACGGUCACACUGGGACUGAGACACGGCCCAGACUCCUACGGAAGGCAGCAGUGGGGAAUAUUGCACAAUGGGCGCAAGCCUGAUGCAGCGACGCCGCGUGAGGGAUGGAGGCCUUCGGGUUGUGAACCUCUUUCGCCAGUGAAGCAGGCCUGCCUCGUUUGUGGGUGGGUUGACGGUAGCUGGAUAAGAAGCGCCGGCUAACUACGUG